UGCCUUAGUAACGGCGAGUGAAGCGGCAAUAGCUCAAAUUUGAAAGCUGGCCCCUUCGGGGUCCGCGUUGUAAUUUGUAGAGGAUGAUUCGGCGAGGGCUCCCGUCUAAGUCCCUUGGAACAGGGCGUCAUAGAGGGUGAGAAUCCCGUAUGUGAUGGGCUGCCUUAGCCAUGUGAAUCUCCUUCGACGAGUCGAGUUGUUUGGGAAUGCAGCUCUAAAUGGGAGGUAAAUUUCUUCUAAAGCUAAAUACCGGCCAGAGACCGAUAGCGCACAAGUAGAGUGAUCGAAAGAUGAAAAGCACUUUGGAAAGAGAGUUAAAAAGUACGUGAAAUUGUUGAAAGGGAAGCGCUUGCAGCCAGACUUGUCCGCAGUUGCUCAGCUUGUCUCCUGACAGGCGUACUCUUCUGCGGCCAGGCCAGCAUCAGUUCGGGCGGUCGGAUAAAGACCUGGGGAAUGUAGCUCCUCUCGGGGAGUGUUAUAGCCCUGGGUGCAAUGCGGCCAGCCUGGACUGAGGAUCUCGCUUCGGCUAGGAUGCUGGCGUAAUGGCUGUAAGCGGCCCGUCUUGAAACACGGACCAAGGAGUCUAACAUCUAUGCGAGUGUUUGGGUGUCAAACCCAUGCGCGUAAUGAAAGUGAACGGAGGUGGGAACCCUCACGGGUGCACCAUCGACCGAUCCUGAUGUCUUCGGAUGGAUUUGAGUAAGAGCAUAGCUGUUGGGACCCGAAAGAUGGUGAACUAUGCCUGAAUAGGGUGAAGCCAGAGGAAACUCUGGUGGAGGCUCGCAGCGGUUCUGACGUGCAAAUCGAUCGUCAAAUUUGGGUAUAGGGGCGAAAGACUAAUCGAACCAUCUAG
rnacentral:rRNA from 3 species